ensembl:lncRNA
CUCAUACACAUGGCCACCUGUGCACCCACCCAGUACAUCUUUGCGUACACACCCAGGCAUUGCUACGCACUCACAUCAGCCAUCGCCUAUCAUAGCACACACUCAACUCAGCAAUAGUCCCCAUCACAACGCACUCGCAGCCACCCUGCUCUGGCCUGCUUGCGCCUGUUCACACCUGCACAUCAUGGUGUCCCUCAUGUACCCCCAGACCCUGGAGUAGGUGUGUCAUGCACUCCAUCACACACUUUCAGCUUGCUCUCCACCCCUCAACUCCUGCAUGUCCACUCUUGCCCUCCUGUGAGUGUAUGGACAGCUGCCCUGAAGGCUAUUUCUGGAAGGAAGACUGGAUAUCACCCUUUGCUAGACUCCUUCUCCCAUCCAGCCCCAGACAGGAUGCUCUACUGCUCUGACGGUUGUAGAGGACAAGGGGAUGAGAGGGUGAGGUACAGCACACCUAGACUGUCACACACACACACCUGCUGAAGUACCACAAGCCUUUGUCAAUCUUAUCACCAUGGGGAGAGGUGAUUGCAGGUGCCUGGCAGUCCUGGCUCCAAUUCGGGAAGAAAUCCUAAAGGGGAAGUAACAGGCUGGCCAGGUCUCUGGGCUUGAGUGAGCAUUCACAGGGACUUCUCUGCCUGGGAGCAGGGCACAACAACGCUUGUGCACAUACUGGCCAGCUCUCCCAUGAAUGAGGCUCUGAGGCCAGGUGGCCAUGAAUGUGCAUACCCACAGGGUCCAAAUGGCCACCAGGAGACACAGACACGUAGGGCAUUCUGCACAUACAGACUGCACAUGUGCACACCAAGUUCUUGAGCAAAACGCAGGAGCCAGACUCUGGCUCCCCAGACUGGCCUAAGCUGGCGCAGAUGUCGACAAGCCAUCUACGUGCUCCGCUGCACGCUGGGUGAGCCAGCCCACACAACUGGGGGUCAUUUCAACCUUUUACCUCCAUCAGGAGGCAGAAGUGUGCAGGAUCAUCUGCCCAAAGGGUGUGCCCACAAGUGGGUUCUCACACAGAAGACACUCUUGCUUCCUCUCCUAGACACCUCCUUGUGCUGUUGCCUGUUAGAUCCAGGGGACUGGGAGGACCCUUGGCAUGACCCUGAAGAGCAUAAAGGGGUUUUAAGAGCCACGCAUCAAUGUCCAAGAUCUUGGCUGAUGUGAUGCUAGUGGUAAAGAACCCACUUGCUAAUGCAGGAGAUGUAAGAGACAUGGAUUCAAUUACUGGGUCAGGAAGAUCCUCUGGAAAAGGGCAUGGCAACCCACUCCAGCAUUCUUGCCUGGAGAAUUCCUCUGAUAGAGGAGCCUGGCAGUCUACAGUCCAUAGGAUUGCAAAGAGUCAAACACGACUGAAGCGACUUAGCAUGCAUGCAUCUCUCCCAUUUGAAAGAUUGGGAAACUGAGGUUCAGUGUGGAAAAACUCACCCAAAGUCAUGUAACAAGUCAACGACUAGGCUGGGACUUGACCCCCACAUCUUUCUAACUAUGUGGCCAGGCUCUUUGUCCCAACUUGGACCUUAUUCCACAUCAGAGAAUUGUGGACUGACAACUAAGAAGGUAGCCUCUUGUGGAACUUUCAGAAGGGGCAUGU